rnacentral:rRNA from 1 species
AUUGAACGCUGGCGGCAGGCUUAACACAUGCAAGUCGAGCGAGCGGCGGGCGGGUGAGAAAUGUCUGGGAAACUGCCUGAGGGAGGGGGAUAACUACUGGAAACGGUAGCUAAAACCGCAUACCAUCAGAAGUGCACAGAUGUGAUGAGCGAGUAGGUGGGGUAGUGGCUCACCUAGGCGACGACCCCUAGCUGGUCUGAGAGGAUGACCAGCCACAGUGGUACUGAGACGCUGUCCAGAAUCCUACGUGAGGCAGGAGUGGGGAAUAUUGCAGAAGGGGCGCAAGCCUGAUGCAGCCAUGCGGCGUGUGUGAAGAAGGCCUUCGGGUUGUAAAGCACUUUCAGCGAGGAGGCGUUACUCGAAGAAGAAGCACCGGCUAACUCCGUGCCAGCAGCCGCGGUAAUUC